CAGCCACCAAUCGCAGAAGCUACGUCACCUCUUUGCCCUUGAACGUGGUGAGGCGCUUAGUGUGUGAGAAAGUGAGACCACUCCAUUCCAGAGCCGUAUAUAGCUACGGCUCUGUGACUGUCUUCCUCAGUGCAGCCACGAACAUCAGAAGAUUCUUUCAAUUGAGAAGAAGCGUCUGGACAUUAUUCCUCUUCUCCACUAAGGUCCUUCCCAGUUGCUCAUCGAACAUAAUGAGGUUCCUUCAAGUAAGCCUCGUGGCUCUGCUUUCCCUUGUCCUACUGGAAGAAGAUGUUGCUGGAGGUGCAAUCACAGCUCGCCUCAAACAUCAAUCUGGCGCUGGGGAGCCGUUACUAAGAGUAAGCUCGGACCCGCCACCCCUACCAGGACCUGAAUCUGAUCAAAUAUCAAUCGUUCCCGAAGCGGCCUUCAAUGAAGGGUCCCACGGCUGCAUAGGCGUUUGUCAGCUUAGGGACAACUUCGACUCCUGCCUGCCAGAUUCAAAGUGUUGUGAGGAGAAGUUCAAAGAUAGCGAGUACUUGGACUGCGUGAGAGGCAACAAAUAAUGCAAAGCAAUCCAUUUCCUGUUAUUGUCUCUGGCUCUGUUCAAGAGAGAUCAGCUGGUAGUGUUGUACCUUACUUUCUUACUUAAUCUUUCACUUUUUGUUAGGAUUGGCCAAUAUGACCAACUGCCAUUGCACUAUAGGCUACUAAGGUACCAUGUUGCCUUCUCGUGACUUCCUAUUUGACACAUGACAAGACUAAGGCCACUUUCAACUUCCCUUUCUCAUCCAGAAUUGGUAUGUUUAAGUGAGUAGCCUAUACUUUUUUUUAUCUGUUCAUCCGUUUGUGGUGGUUGCGCAUGGUAACACUGCGUGCCGGGCUUUAAAUAGUUACGCUGUCUAAGUUUUAGGUAAAUAAAGGAUAUCUGGGUGUACAUUUGCAACUGAAAAGUGUUUUAAUAAUUUACUGUAUGCGAAUUACACCAAUUAAUAUUCGAAUUAGGAUAUUAUUUAAAGCCCGGGACGCAGUGUUACCAUGCACAAACACCCCAGGCGGAUGGACAAAUGGAAAAAAAAACAGAGAAUACAUACUCAAGGCAAAAUCCUACCAAAUCGUACACAAAGGUUGAUGCUGGGAAGGUGAUUCAGUCUCUUAU